UGCAUAGGUGGCGCUGUAAGUCGGGUGUGAAAUCCUGAGGCUUAACCUCGGAACUGCAUUCGAUACUGCGGCGCUUGAGGACUGGAGAGGAGACUGGAAUUCAUGGUGUAGCAGUGAAAUGCGUAGAGAUCAUGAGGAAGACCAGUGGCGAAGGCGGGUCUCUGGACAGUUCCUGACACUGAGCACGAGGCAGGGAGCGAAACG
rnacentral:rRNA from 1 species